UGACACAGCAAUCUGUUUUUCAUGGAUCACUCCAGUUCGACGCAAACUAUCUAUCCGUUCCUGGGCGCCCUGAAUGACAACGGCACAGCCUUAAAAUAAGCACCAAAAUGACGGCUGAUGUAUUUUUAACUGCAAAUGGAUAUACUGCACCAAGAUUUAUUCAGGAAAAUACCAUUUAUGCAACAAAACUGAGGGGCUGACAACGCUACAUAACUCAAUAUCAUCAAUACAUAUCUUACGAUACAAAACUACAAGUUAACAAUAAGACUGCUGUUUACCUACUUUCAUCUGAAUUACUUCAUAAACAGUGAUAAGGGAAGUGACAGGAAAUGUCUAAAAAGUUAGACAAAUGUGUUCUAAUUUUUAAUAAAACUUGCCAUGGAGAAUA